UACAGAGGGGGCGAGCGUUGUUCGGAAUUACUGGGCGUAAAGGGCGCGUAGGCGGCCUUCUAAGUCGAACGUGAAAUCCCCGGGCUCAACCCGGGAACUGCGUCCGAUACUGGGAGGCUUGAAUCCGGGAGAGGGAUGUGGAAUUCCGGGUGUAGCGGUGGAAUGCGUAGAGAUCCGGAAGAACACCGGUGGCGAAGGCGGUCGACUGGGCCAGUACUGACGCUGAGGCGCGACAGCGUGGGGAGCAAACAGG
rnacentral:rRNA from 1 species